rnacentral:rRNA from 1 species
AUUGAACGCUGGCGGCGUGCCUAACACAUGCAAGUCGAGCGGUAACAGGUGUAGCAAUACAUGCUGACGAGCGGCGAACGGGUGAGUAAUGCUUCGGAAUCUGCCCAUGUAGUGGGGAAUAACCAGCCGAAAGGUUGGCUAAUACCGCAUACGACCUACGGGUGAAAGCAGGGGAUCGCAAGACCUUGCGCUAUUGGAUGAGCCGAAGUCGGAUUAGCUGUUGGUAGGGUAACGGCCUACCAAGGCGACGAUCCGUAGCUGGUCUGAGAGGACGACCAGCCACACUGGGACUGAGACACGGCCCAGACUCCUACGGGAGGCAGCAGUGGGGAAUAUUGGACAAUGGGGGCAACCCUGAUCCAGCGACGCCGCGUGCGUGAAGAAGGCCUGCGGGUUGUAAAGCACUUUUUAGUGGGGAUGGGAAAGCACAUGGCUAAUAUCCGUGUGUCUUGACCUAACCC